rnacentral:rRNA from 1 species
CCUACGGGAGGCAGCAGUGAGGAAUAUUGGUCAAUGGGCGCGAGCCUGAACCAGCCAAGUAGCGUGAAGGAUGACUGCCCUACGGGUUGUAAACUUCUUUUAUAAAGGAAUAAAGUGAGGCACGUGUGCCUUUUUGUAUGUACUUUAUGAAUAAGGAUCGGCUAACUCCGUGCCAGCAGCCGCGGUAAUACGGAGGAUCCGAGCGUUAUCCGGAUUUAUUGGGUUUAAAGGGAGCGUAGGUGGAUUGUUAAGUCAGUUGUGAAAGUUUGCGGCUCAACCGUAAAAUUGCAGUUGAAACUGGCAGUCUUGAGUACAGUAGAGGUGGGCGGAAUUCGUGGUGUAGCGGUGAAAUGCUUAGAUAUCACGAAGAACUCCGAUUGCGAAGGCAGUUCACUGGACUGCAACUGACACUGAGGCUCGAAAGUGUGGGUAUCAAACAGGAUUAGAUACCCUUGUAGUC